UUAUUAUAAUUUUUUAAUUCUUUUUUAUUUUUAUUAUUUUUAGUAUUUUUAUUAACUAAUUAAAUAUUAAAACUGUUAAGGUUAAUUUUAUUUAUAAUUAAAGAAUUUAUUAGUACCUUUUGUAUCAGGGUUAAUUUAAUAAUAUAAUUAUUUUUUUUUCCCGAAUUUAAGUUAUUUAUGUUUAAAUUAUUGUAUAUGUUGAAUAUUAUUUAUUAAUUUAGAUAUAAUAGUUAUAAGUUAUUUGAACUUAACUAUAUCUGGUUAUUUAGGAUAAAUUUUAAUUUUGGAUUUAUUUUUAAUUUUAUUAAAAUUUAUAAUUCUUAAUUUAUUUAGGAAAAUCUAAAUAAUUAUUUAUAAUUUAUUUUUUUAAAUUCUUAUAAAGUUUAGAAGUUUCUAUAAAGUUUUUAAUAAAUUAAUUUUUUUAUUUAUUUUUUAUUUAAAUUUAAAUUUUUACUAAGUUUAAUUAAUUAAUUUAUUUUUAUUUAUAAUAAUGAUUAAAUUAGUAUAUUUUUAAUAUAAAAUUUUAUGAAUUAGACAAAAUUAAUUUUCAACUGUUUAUUAAAAACAUUUCUUUUUGUAAUAUUUAAAAAGUAACUUCUGCUCUGUGAAUAAUUAAAUAGCUGCAGUAUUUUGACUGUACAAAGGUAGCAUAAUAAUUUGAUUCUUAAUUGGGAUCUGGAAUGAAUGAAUAUAUGAGAAAUUAUUUUUAUUAAAUUUAAAAAUUGAAUUUUAUUUUUUAGUAAAAAAGCUAAAAUUUUUUUUAGUGACGAAAAGACCCUAUAGAAUUUAAAUUUUUUAUUCUUUUAUUUUGUUAUUUUAUAAUUUAAGUAUAUAAUAUUUUUGUUGGGGUGAUAAUUAAAUUUAAACUUUAUUUUAUUAUUUCAUUAUAUUUGAUUGCUUGAUCCAUAAUUAUAUGAUUAUAAGAUAAAAUUACCUUAGGGAUAACAGCGUUAUUUUUAUUAGGAGUUCUUAUCUAUAUAAAAGUUUACGACCUCGAUGUUGAAUUAAGAAAAUUUUAUGGUGAAGUAGCUUUAAUAUUAAGUCUGUUCGACUUUUAAAUUCUUACAUGAUUUGAGUUUAAACCGGUGUAAGCCAGGUUGGUUUCUAUCUUAAAAUUAAUUAUCUUUUUUAGUACGAAAGGACCAUAAAGUUUUAUUUAAAUAAUU
rnacentral:rRNA from 1 species